UACGUAGGGGCCGAGCGUUGUCCGGAGUUAUUGGGCGUAAAGCGCGCGCAGGCGGCUUGGCGCGCCCGACGUGAAAGCCCCCGGCUUAACCGGGGAGGGUCGUCGGGUACGGCCAGGCUUGAGGGCGGGAGAGGGUGGUGGAAUUCCCGGUGUAGUGGUGAAAUGCGUAGAGAUCGGGAAGAACACCGGUGGCGAAGGCGGUGAGCUGGGCAGUUGCUGACACUGAGGCGCGACAGCGUGGGGAGCAAACAGG
rnacentral:rRNA from 1 species